rnacentral:rRNA from 4 species
AUCACUAAGCGGAGGAAAAGAAACUAACCAGGAUUCCCCUAGUAACGGCGAGUGAAACGGGAAGAGCCCAGCACCGAAUCCCCUGCAUCGACUGUAGAGGGAACUGUGGUGUUAAGGAGAGCCUGUGGAGCGGGGAGGGGCGUCCGAGUCCUCCUGAUUGGGGCCUUGCCCAGAGCGGGUGUCAGGCCUCUACGGCGCCCCCGCCCCGUUGCUCAGUACCUCCUAGGAGUCGGGUUGUUUGAGAUUGCAGCCCAAAGUGGGUGGUAAACUCCAUCUAAGGCUAAAUACUGGCACGAGACCGAUAGCAAACAAGUACCGUGAGGGAAAGUU